rnacentral:rRNA from 1 species
UACGUAGGGUGCAAGCGUUGUCCGGAAUUAUUGGGCGUAAAGAGCUCGUAGGCGGUCUGUUGCGUCGGCUGUGAAAACCCGGGGCUCAACCCCGGGCCUGCAGCCGAUACGGGCAGACUAGAGUUCGGCAGGGGAGACUGGAAUUCCUGGUGUAGCGGUGAAAUGCGUAGAUAUCAGGAGGAACACCCGAGGCGAAGGCGGCUCUCUGGGUCGGACCUGACGCUGAGGCGCGAAAGCGUGGGGAGCGAACGGG